rnacentral:lncRNA from 1 species
AAUUUAGGCUGGACAAAGCAGAAGGAAAUCCAAGGUCCCGUUGACCUCCAUGACGAACAGCAGCUCCAUGCAUGCCACUUUCUUACUGCUCAGACCCUGCUCAGGCUAUUCCAGCAGAAGGAUUCUCCAUCUCUGCAGACUCAGCUGCUCCACACACUAUAUGGCAGAUGAAAGAAGAUGAAGGAGAGAGGAGGCAGCCUCGAUAACUUCUCUGUUCCUUCUGAAAAAUGUCCUAUCUACAUCCCAGAGACCUGGAAUGCACAGAAAUGUAGGGGAGAAGGGUCUAAAGCAGAACAGGAAGCUUGACCCUACUCAAGUCUCAAAUACUGGCGAGAAAAGCAGCUACAGCAGCAGCAGCAGCAGCAGCAGCAGCAGCAGCAGCAGCAGCAAUAGCAGGAAAAAUGAACCAGAGGCCAGAGAGACACAAGCAACUCCUACAGGGAUGUACAAACUGGGAAGAAGGCUUUUAUUCUUAGAACCCAUUUAUGGCUUAGAAAUACAAUUUCUAACAUGCCUUAUAUUUCUAGUCAGGUGACAAGAUUAAUCAAAGGCACAUGAAUGAAGUCUUCAGGAAUUACCCAUCCAUCCCAUCCAACCAUCCAUCCAUCCAUCCAUCCAUCCAUCCAUCCAUCCAUCCAUCCAUCCUUCCAUCGAUCCAUCCUUUCAACCAUUCAAUGACCAUUUACUGAGGAUCUACAGGAAAUGGCAUUGUAGUGGCAGGGGUCUGAUAGCCCUGAUUCAAGUUCUUACACUGCCAUUUAAGAGUUAGCUGUGUGUACUGAAUAUCUUCCAUCUGCCCUCCAGAUCCAUUCCCUACUACCUGUGCCAGUGAGACUGACCUGUAUUGACUGAAUUGGUGGGCUCAGUUUGUGUCCUGGCUUAUGAUUGGGUUCAUGUCAUAGAGAGCACCAACAGGAGAUGGGAGGGAGGGGGAAAAGUGAGGUUUGAGUAUUUAAUUCUCCAUUCCCCCCUCAACACAUGGUGUCAUUCAGCUAAAGGCCAUGACUGUUGAUAGCUGGCCCUCUCUACACAGUCCCUUCCAUCCUUGGGUUCUAGGAAUCCCCUAAAGACACCUGUAGUUACCUGCCCCCAGGUACUUCCACAUCUCCUUUUAUUUCUUAUGCUCUAUGUUUUCACAAAUAAACCUUUUAUUAGACUCUCCUCAGAUUAUUUCCAUUUUGGUCUGUCUUUGGCUUCCUGAUAUACACUGUGUGACCCUGAGUCUGUUAUUUUACCUUUUUGAGUCUUGAUUUCUGAGUCUUGAUUUCUCUAUGGGUAAAACAGGGAAAUCAAAUAUGCUUUGUAGGAUUGUUGGGAGGCUCAGGGCAGAUAGGUACUGUGCCCAAGUUUGCUCAGCUAGUUAAGGGGAAGAUCUGGCAGGUGAAAAGAGGGAAUCUAAGCUGUAGCCCAUCCUUCUCACUAUACAGUUCGAUAUGGGGUCCUGGGUGGCCCUAAGCAUUUUGGGAUCAGUGGCAACAGAGGCUCACAUUAGUGAACUCAAUGCCCUCUCAAGCCUCUCAAGACCCUCCUGGCCAGGUUGGCACUGGUAUCUUGGGUUCAGGUGGUGGGGGCUUGAGGUGCUGUGAUGGGGAGAGAGCAUCCUUCUUCCUGCUGCUGCAGGAGAGUCUGUUAGAGAGGUUGGGCUGUCAAUUCCAUUCAGUAGUGACAUUUGAGGAAAGGAUGCCCUGGUGUUGGCUGAUGUUGUCAAGGAAGUACUUGUCAAAUUUCCCUCUUGGCUGAGCAGAUGGGGACGUAAAGGGAGGGGGAGCUGGUAUUUGUUGCAUGAUCUCUGAGUACCAGAAACUUUACAAAUGAAUUCUCUCAUUUAAUCUCUCAGCAAUAUAUGAGGUGGGAAAUUUCAUCCCCAUAGUUCAGGAAGGAAACUGAGGCAAAGAAAGCUUAGACAGCUUCUGCAAAGUCCAUAGCCAGUAAGGCUUUGGAUAGGCAAGACGUAACUCAAACCCUGUUUCCUUUGCAGAAACUUCACUCUUCCUAUGAUACAAGGAUAAUCAGCAAGAAAGUCUAUUUUAUUUGCUCAGCAAUUUAUAGUUCUUCCUACAGCUUCUGGGAUUUGGGCCCAUCAAUUUCACUUUCCCAGUCUCUCACAUUUUCAACCUUACUGUCUUCCUUGGCUCCUUCACCUCAACAUAAGAGUGUACUUAAGUCUCUUGUGUCCUUGAGAUAUGUGCUUGCUCAACCCUGCUGCUUCUCCCAGUCACCACCUUUUCUCUUCCUUGCCCUACUGUGUUCCCUUAUCUCCCAGACUGUCCUCACCUAUUGGAGCCAGGCUUCUGUCCCCAUCAAGCCCUGUCCAACCUAUGACUUCCUGGUUGUCAACUUCAGUGGGAAUUAUGUAGUUCUCAUCUUCUUCAGUUUCAUUCAUUCAUUUAUUUGACAAAUAUUGUUGAGUUACUACUAUAUGUCAAGCAUCAUUCUAGGUCCUAGAGACAAAGAAUGAACAAAACAGAAGCUAGUCCGUGCUGUCAUAGCACCUACAUCCAAG